UGAUAUGGAGCAAAACCCUAAAAAGACGGUCUCAGUUCGGAUUGAAGGCUGAAAUUCGCCUUCAUGAAGCUGGAAUUGCUAGUAAUGGCAGGUCAGCAUACUGCCGUGAAUACGUUCCCGGGCCUUGUACACACCGCCCGUCACACCAUGAGAGUUGGAAAUACCCGAAGCCUGUGAGCUAACUGUAAAGAGGCAGCAGUCGAAGGUAGAGCCAAUGAUUGGGGUGAAGUCGUAACAAGGUACC
rnacentral:rRNA from 1 species